rnacentral:rRNA from 1 species
UAGGGAAUAUUGGACAAUGGGUGCGAGCCUGAUCCAGCCAUGCCGCGUGCAGGAAGACGGCCUUCUGGGUUGUAAACUGCUUUUGCCAGGGGAUAAAACGUCCAUGCGUGGAUAAUUGAAGGUACCUGGUGAAUAAGCCACGGCUAACUACGUGCCAGCAGCCGCGGUAAUACGUAGGUGGCAAGCGUUGUCCGGAUUUAUUGGGUUUAAAGGGUGCGUAGGCUGUUUUAUAAGUCAGUGGUGAAAUACAAUAGCUUAACUAUUGAGGUGCCAUUGAUACUGUAAGACUUGAGUACAGACGAGGUAGGCGGAAUUGACGGUGUAGCGGUGAAAUGCUUAGAUAUCGUCAAGAACACCGAUAGCGAAGGCAGCUUACUAGACUGUAACUGACGCUGAGGCACGAAAGUGUGGGGAUCAAA